UCCGAGUUAUCCCCGGCAGUUUCUCUAGAGUGCCCAACUUAACUUGCUGGCAACUAAAGACAAGGGUUGCGCUCGUUGCGGGACUUAACCCAACAUCUCACGACACGAGCUGACGACAACCAUGCACCACCUGUCACCUCAGUCCCCGAAGGGAAAGCUUCGAUUAAGAAGCGGUCUAAGGGAUGUCAAGUCCAGGUAAGGUUCUUCGCGUUGCUUCGAGUUAAACCACAUGCUCCGCUGCUUGUGCGGGUCCCCGUCAAUUCCUUUGAGUUUCAUUCUUGCGAACGUACUCCCCAGGCGGAGUGCUUAAUGCGUUAACUGCGGCACCGAGGUUUGACCCCCGACACCUAGCACUCAUCGUUUACGGCGUGGACUAC
rnacentral:misc_RNA from 1 species